UAUCCGGAAUUAUUGGGCGUAAAGGGCUCGUAGGCGGUUCGUCGCGUCCGGUGUGAAAGUCCAUCGCUUAACGGUGGAUCCGCGCCGGGUACGGGCGGGCUUGAGUGCGGUAGGGGAGACUGGAAUUCCCGGUGUAACGGUGGAAUGUGUAGAUAUCGGGAAGAACACCAAUGGCGAAGGCAGGUCUCUGGGCCGUCACUGACGCUGAGGAGCGAAAGCGUGGGGAGCGAACAGGAUUAGAUACCCUGGUAGUCCACGCCGUAAACGGUGGAUGCUGGAUGUGGGGACCAUUCCACGGUCUCCGUGUCGGAGCCCACGCGUUAAGCAUCCCGCCUGGGGAGUACGGCCGCAAGGCUAAAACUCAAGAAAUUGACGGGGGCCCGCACA
rnacentral:rRNA from 1 species